rnacentral:rRNA from 1 species
AACGUAGGGAACCUGCCCAUGCGGCCGGGACAACUUCCGGAAACGGAUGCUGAUACCGGAUAAGGAAAGCGAAGGCAUCUUUGCUUUGUUAAAGGAGCUGCAAGGCUCCGCGCAUGGAUGGACCUGCGGUGCAUUAGCUGGUUGGUGAGGUAAAGGCUCACCAAGGCGACGAUGCAUAGCCGGCCUGAGAGGGCGAACGGCCACACUGGGACUGAGACACGGCCCAGACUCCUACGGAAGGCAGCAG